rnacentral:lncRNA from 1 species
UUAGAUCCGGCUCUACCCAAACUUUUUUGGUUCACCCCAACAUUACCCACUUGUCCGACUGUUGCUAAGCAGUUUUGGGAUACUAAACGGACCUCCCCAGAUGGUAAUCUUAAAGUGGCCGAUUUACCCUCUUUUGCAAUGAGUUUCACUAUAGCACCUGCUGCUCUAGCUAAUUGCCCACCCCUUCCACGUGUGAUUUCUAUGUUAUGCAUGGCCGUACCUAAGGGCAUAUCGGUUGAAGUAGAUUCUUCUUUUCUCUCAAAAACCCCUUCCCAAACUGUACAAGCUUCUUCCAAAGCAUACGACUUUCUAGAUGUAUAUGACGAUCUCUAGACAGAUGGAUCUUAUAUGAAUCAUAUGAUGAAGUACCACAUGAGUGGAUAUAUAGGAAAGGAAUCCAAAUCUGCCGAAUUGCUCAUGUUAUGAUCUUCUACAUCCUAGGUCUCUGCGUUCCGUCAUCUGGCUUAUGUUCUUCAUGUAGCAUUCAGAUCGAAUGACUCUAUGAAAUUACGUCGAUACUUCCACAUAUUAUGGGUAACGUAGUAGACAUCCCUAUUUUCCCCCGGGGGUCUUAAUUACCACUCCUUAGCUUUCAAUUUGCCUCUGACCAUCAAAUUAAAUGUGAAUAACCCGUCCUCCUCUCUUUGAAACAAGGGGCGCUUCCGGUUCUGUGCGUGCUUCAAACAAUUUUGUCUUCUCCAUAUUAUCAUAUCUCUAGAGCCAAUAAUUUUCUAUGAGGAACUACUGAACUCAAUCACUUGCUGUCGUUACUCAACAGUUUUCUGUUGAGGUCUAUCCCGUAGAGGUAGUCAAAUUGGAUCAGUGAUUGAUUUCUAGGUUUCGUCGUAAACCUAAUUGGUUACUUCCAAUUACGUAAAUCAAUAGUUCAAACCGCACUCAAAGGUAGGGCAUUUCCCAUUGAUAUAGGAACUUUUGUACCAGAAACAAUAGUAUCUCCAAUUAUAGCCCCUCUGGGAUGUAAAAUAUAUCUCUUCUCACCAUCCCCACAGUGUAUGAGACAAAUGUAUGCAUUUCGAUUAGGGUCGUAUUCUAUGGUUACGAUUCUACCAGAUAUGUCUUUUUGAUUCCGUCGAAAAUCUAACGGUAUAGGCGCUUAUGACCUCCCCCUCUAUGCCUUGCGGUAAUGAUUCCUCUGGAAUUACGACCUUUACCACAACGGUGCCGUCCAUGGAUCAAAUUAUUUUGUGGAUUGGAUUUCACUUGCCUGUCUACGGUUCCCUUGCGUGUGCUCGGGAUAGGUGUUUUGUAUAAAUGUUUCGCCGUAUUAUUAAGUAUUCUCCUUUAGUUUUUUUCUCUAUCUAGAAGUGGAAUAGAAUAACCCGUUUGAAGGGUAAUGAUCAUACGUCUGUAAUGCAUUGUAUGGACCAGAAUAGUUCCUAUUCUUCUACCUUUUCCAGGUAGUCGAUGGCUAUUCACAGCUACCACCUUAACACCAAAGAAGAGUUCGACCCAAUGCUUUAUUUCUGUCUUAGUGAAUCCCGAUUUGACAUUAAAAGUAUAUUGAUUCUUUCCCAAUAAACAAAGACUUUUUUCUGUAAAUACUGCGUAUUUGAUUCCAUCCAUAAAUCGACUUUCCCUCCUAUGCUCUGAGUUCCAGUAUCGAUAAGAAUUCGAGUUCUUAUUGUUCUUAUGUUAUGGUAUGAAUAUACCAUACCAAUUCGUUAUGUAUGGAUGAUGGAUGAGAUUCCAUGGAUAGAGAGCCAGUUCCAAUAGACUUAUGGAAUGUUCCCGUUUGUGUGCAUCCAGCAGGAAUUGAACCCGCAAAUUUACCAAUUAUGAGUUGGGCGCUUUAACCAUUCAGCCAUGGAUGCUUAACAGGGAUCAUCGUACAUCGUAAAUAACCAAUUUUCAUAUAGAAAGACAUAUCAUAGAAAAAUGAAAUCGAAAAUAUUCCGAGAUGGCAAAUAUUCGAAGAUGACUAUGAAAACACCUCUCCAGAUCCUCGAUUUGAAUGAGAGAUUGAGAGGGAUCAAGAAUCCUAAUUCUCGCUACUUGGAAUGGAUCCAAUUCUAUUGAGUCUGACUCAUAGUGAUCAUUUCUCUUUAGCAAAGAAUGACCUUGGUUAUCAAAGGAUUGAACAACCGGGAUCCAUUUACUUAUGAUACCUAGUUGGCAUUGAUAACAAGGAUCUAAUGAAUUAUGAGUUUAAUAGAUCCUCUUUAGCAGAAAGAUGUAUAUUCCUUGCUCAUUAUCAGACAAUCACUUAUUCCCAAACCUCGUGUGGGACUAAUCUUUUUCAUUUACCAUCUCAUGGAAAACCCUUUUCGUUCCGCUUAGCCCUAUCGGGUAUUUUAGUGAUAGGUUCUGUAGGAACUGGACGAUCCUAUUUGGUCAAAUACCUAACUAAAAAUUAUUAUUUUCCUUUCAUUAAGGUACGAGGGCUUCUUAUUCCACAAGAACGAAAUCACCUUUACAUUCUUUCAUAUACUAGGGGUUUUUACUUGGAAAAGACAAUGUUCCAUACUAAAGGAUUCGGGUC